rnacentral:sRNA from 1 species
UCAAAUCUUUGUUGGAGGACGGGUGUC